GUUUUCAUAGCUUACCUAAAGCAUAGCACUGAAGAUGCUAAGACGGUUUCACCUGAUAACAC
rnacentral:tRNA from 1 species